GCUCAGGAUGAACGCUAGCUACAGGCUUAACACAUGCAAGUCGAGGGGUAGCAGGGUAGCAAUACCGCUGACGACCGGCGCACGGGUGAGUAACACGUAUCCAACCUUCCCAUAACUCGGGGAUAGCCUUUCGAAAGAAAGAUUAAUACCCGAUAGUACUUAUAUAAGGCAUCUUAAAUAAGUUAAAGAUUUAUUGGUUAUGGAUGGGGAUGCGUUCCACUAGAUAGUUGGUGAGGUAACGGCUCACCAAGUCUUCGAUGGAUAGGGGUUCUGAGAGGAAGGUCCCCCACAUUGGUACUGAGACACGGACCAAACUCCUACGGGAGGCAGCAGUGAGGAAUAUUGGUCAAUGGGCGAGAGCCUGAAC
rnacentral:rRNA from 1 species